rnacentral:rRNA from 1 species
GGGAUAGAAUUCCAGGAGUAGCGGUGAAAUGCGUAGAUAUCUGGAGGUAUACCAAAGGCGAAGGCAGUCCCCUGGUCCGAUACUGACACUGAGGUACGAAAGCGUGGGGAGCAAACAGGAUUAGAUACCCUGGUAGUCCACGCCCUAAACGAUGUCGAUUAGCCAUUGGAAGGACCCCUUUUCCUUUCAGUGACGUAGCUAACGCGUUAAAUCGACCGCCUGGGAAGUACGACCGCAAGGUUAAAACUCAAAGGAAUUGACGGGGACCUGAACAAGCGGUGAAUGAUGUGGAUUAAUUCGAUGCUACGCGAAGAACCUUACCUACCUUUGACAUGGCCAAAGUUCUACCGAGAGGCGGAAGUACUCGUAAGAGGAUUGGCGCACAGGUGCUGCAUGGUUGUCGUCAGUUCGUGUCGUGAGAUGUUGGGUUCAGUCCCGCAACGAACGCAACCCUUAUCUUUAAUUGCUCCUAUUUUAACAGGCACUUUAAAGAAACUGCCAAUGAUAAGUUGGAGGAAGGUGGGGAUCACGUCAAGUCCGCAUGGCCUUUAUAGGUAGGGCUUCACACGUCAUACAAUGGUUAGAACAAAGAGCUGCAAAUUCGUAAGAAGGAGCCAAUCUCACAGACCUAACCUCAGUUCGAAUUGCGGUCUGCAACUCGAGCGCAUGAAGCCGGAAUCGCUAGUAAUCGUGGAUCAGAAUGCCACGGUGAAUACGUUCUUAGGUCUU